CUCGAUAAAGCCAAACCCUCCGUGAGAAGGGGACGGAAAGCAUAGGGUCUUAAUCGUAAGAUGGCCGAGCUGCCGAAG
rnacentral:ncRNA from 1 species